AGCAAAGGGCUCUGUUAGGAUGAUACGGUACAAUAAGGUCUUUAAGGUAAAAUGGAGCUGGUCAUUAAGAGUUUUUUAUGUUAUAAGCAGGAUUUUAAAUUCUAUCCUGGAUUUAACAGGGAGCCAAUGAAGAGAAACUAAUACCAGGAGAA